rnacentral:rRNA from 1 species
ACGCUGGCGGCAGGCCUAACACAUGCAAGUCGAGCGGUAGAGAGAAGCUUGCUUCUCUUGAGAGCGGCGGACGGGUGAGUAAUGCCUAGGAAUCUGCCUGGUAGUGGGGGAUAACGUCCGGAAACGGACGCUAAUACCGCAUACGUCCUACGGGAGAAAGCAGGGGACCUUCGGGCCUUGCGCUAUCAGAUGAGCCUAGGUCGGAUUAGCUAGUUGGUGGGGUAAUGGCUCACCAAGGCGACGAUCCGUAACUGGUCUGAGAGGAUGAUCAGUCACACUGGAACUGAGACACGGUCCAGACUCCUACGGGAGGCAGCAGUGGGGAAUAUUGGACAAUGGGCGAAAGCCUGAUCCAGCCAUGCCGCGUGUGUGAAGAAGGUCUUCGGAUUGUAAAGCACUUUAAGUUGGGAGGAAGGGCAGUAAAUUAAUACUUUGCUGUUUUGACGUUACCGACAGAAUAAGCACCGGCUAACUCUGUGCCAGCAGCCGCGGUAAUGCAGAGGGUGCAAGCGUUAAUCGGAAUUACUGGGCGUAAAGCGCGCGUAGGUGGUUCGUUAAGUUGGAUGUGAAAUCCCCGGGCUCAACCUGGGAACUGCAUUCAAAACUGACGAGCUAGAGUAUGGUAGAGGGUGGUGGAAUUUCCUGUGUAGCGGUGAAAUGCGUAGAUAUAGGAAGGAACACCAGUGGCGAAGGCGACCACCUGGACUGAUACUGACACUGAGGUGCGAAAGCGUGGGGAGCAAACAG